rnacentral:rRNA from 1 species
AUUGAACGCUGGCGGCAGGCCUAACACAUGCAAGUCGAGCGGGUGAAGGGAGCCUGCUCCUGGAUUCAGCGGCGGACGGGUGAGUAAUGCCUAGGAAUCUGCCUGGUAGUGGGGGAUAACGUCCGGAAACGGGCGCUAAUACCGCAUACGUCCUGAGGGAGAAAGUGGGGGAUCUUCGGACCUCACGCUAUCAGAUGAGCCUAGGUCGGAUUAGCUAGUUGGUGGGGUAAAGGCCUACCAAGGCGACGAUCCGUAACUGGUCUGAGAGGAUGAUCAGUCACACUGGAACUGAGACACGGUCCAGACUCCUACGGGAGGCAGCAGUGGGGAAUAUUGGACAAUGGGCGAAAGCCUGAUCCAGCCAUGCCGCGUGUGUGAAGAAGGUCUUCGGAUUGUAAAGCACUUUAAGUUGGGAGGAAGGGCAGUAAGUUAAUACCUUGCUGUUUUGACGUUACCAACAGAAUAAGCACCGGCUAACUUCGUG